GAAAGGAAAGGAAAGGAAAGGAAAGAGAAAUCCUUUCUUUCCAAAAGAAAACUUUUGGUAGCAGGUUAGAGCAGGGCUAAUAAACCGAUAAGGGAUGUGGAUGCUUUGUUCCCCCUACUUUGUCAUUCUCUGCCCCCACAUGUCCCAGUUCAUAGCCUAAAGAAAAUUUCUUCCCAUUUGCCUCCUCUCCCCAUCCCGAGGUCUUCCCUUUCCUUUCUCCCAGCUCACUCCUCUCCCCUGAUCCCAUUGGCCUCCCUACUUGCUCCCUGGUCAGCCUCUCUGCGCUCUCCUCUCCUUAUCCUUCUCCCCGACCCCUCUCUCCCCUCACCUCUUCCUCUUUCUUUGUCCUCUAAUUCCCAAUAGGUCGGUUCUCGUCCCCUGUGGGGAUUUUGAGCCUAGGGACCAGGAACAAGGAGGACACUCAGGAGCACACUAGGGAGCAUACCCCCUCCAUUCAGUCUCCCCUCCCCCGUAUCCUAGGAGACUGACCCUAAGGAACACAGGGCCCAGAGAAUGCAACCUAGAACCCAGGGGUUCUCUAGGUCUGGUGUUGCACCUGGCAUCUGAAGACAGGAUGGGAAGGAUGGUCACAGCUGAUGCAGGUGUAGUGACAAGGGAAGGGACAAAGGAUUGGGAGUGGGAGCAAGAGCAAGAGGUGAAGAGCAGAAGAUGAAGACUGAGAUCACUGAGUGACCUCAUUCAUAUAAAGAGGACAGAAUGGCUCCGGUCAUAGGUCAUAGCCCCCAGAAUGUUAGAGCUCGAAGACUCUUUUACAAGUCAUCUAAUCCAGAGGUUCCUGGCUGUAGGAUCUCCCUAGCCCCUCCAAUGUGCAAGGACACGCGUGCGUGUUUAUCAAGAUGCGUGCAGAGAUGACGAGCAGAUGAUGUCGUGGUACUGUAAGAAUCAACGGCAAAAAGUGGAGCAGAGGAUCGGAAAGACACCCAGGGGGGAAAGAAAGGUGAAGCGGUUCUUGCAAGGUCAAUGAACAGGCAGCUGAAAUAGCGAGACUGAGGCAAGGAGACCAAGUCAAGGAGAGGAAUAUAGGGGAUCGUAAGAGGCUUCAUGAUGGUCCCAUACGUCACACUGAGACUGAGACCCAGGGAAGUCUAGGCAACGUCCUGGGCUCACAUGUCAGCAGCAGAGACAAACAGUCCCUGGCACUCCCCCAAACAUUGUGAGCUGAGACCUACUUUUGCUCUGCUUUGGAAAGACUGUGGGGUACGGAGCUUUCUGGACCAGUGGACGGGAGUCAGGCCGUUGAGGGCACCAGGCACAGCCCUGGACUUGGACUUCUGUGGAUCCUUUCCACUGAGAUGUGUUUUGAUCAUAAGCAUAGAAGGAACUAACUGUAUGAAAUGAUGUGAUUUUAAGUGUGCUGAGAUCUACCUCUCAUGGCUCCCCCGAACACCCCUUGAGUGCCUAAUAGUCUACCAUCGGUGAUUAUUUAUAGCUAAACCUUUAGUCCCAUUAAAAUAAAAUCCUCCUAAGUGAUUACCAUAAAUGUCAGGAUUGUGGUGACUUCUGGGAGGAGGGAGAAUUGCGAUAGGAUCGGGCACAUAGGGGACGCCUGGGUGGCUCAGUGGUUGAGUGUCUGCCUUCAGCUCAGGGUGUGAUCCUGGGGUCCAGGGAUUUAGUCCUGCAUCGGACUCCCCGCAGGGAGCCUGCUUCUCCCUCUGCUUGUCUCUCUCUCUCUCUCUUUCUCUCUCUCAUGAAUAAAUAAAAUCUUAGGGGAAAAAAAAAAAAGGAUUGGGCACAUAGCUGGCUUCUGAAAUA